CCUACGGGUGGCAGCAGUGGGGAAUAUUGCACAAUGGGGGAAACCCUGAUGCAGCGACGCCGCGUGAGUGAAGAAGUAUUUCGGUAUGUAAAGCUCUAUCAGCAGGGAAGAAAAUGACGGUACCUGAUUAAGAAGCCCCGGCUAACUACGUGCCAGCAGCCGCGGUAAUACGUAGGGGGCAAGCGUUAUCCGGAUUUACUGGGUGUAAAGGGAGCGUAGACGGCAGGACAAGUCUGGAGUGAAAUGCCGGGGCUUAACCCCGGAACUGCUUUGGAAACUGUGCAGCUAGAGUGCAGGCGAGGCAAGUGGAAUUCUUAGUGUAGCGGUGAAAUGCGUAGAUAUUAGGAAGAACACCAGUGGCGAAGGUAGCUUACUGGAGCGGAACUGACGUUGAUGCUCGAAAGCGUGGGGAGCGAACAGGAUUAGAUACCCGAGUAGUC
rnacentral:rRNA from 1 species